UUGUUGUAUAGCUGUUUCCAGAUGGCAGUGGAUGAUGUUCAUAAUCCGCUUCUUGCAGAAACAACUUGUGGAUCUUUACUACUUCAAUUGCAGUUGGAGAAAGUGAGGAGGAAAGAGAUAAGAUGCUUCUUCAGUUAGAACAAGAGUGUUUAAAUGUGUAGAAAAGGAAAGUUGACCAGGCUGCAAAGUCAAAGGAUCGUCUUCUUCAAGCAAUGGCAGAUGCUAACCGUGAAGUCAAUGCCCUUCUUGCAUCUCUAGGAGAGAAAUCAUCUGUUAACAUUCCUGACAAGACUUCGGGAACCAUCAAAGCACGUCUUGCUGCUAUUGCACCGGCUCUAGAACAAUUGUGGAUGCAGAAGGAAGAGAGGAUAAAAUAGUUUUCAGAUGUGCAGACACAAAUUCAGAAAAUACGUGUGCAGGGAAUGAUAAGCUUACACAAAGCUUUAAAGUUGAUGAAUCUGAUCUAUCCUUGAAGAAGUUGAAAGAAUUUUAUGAUCAUCUUCAAGAACUUCAAAAAGAAAAGAGCCAGAGAUUGGACAAAGUUCUUGAAUUUGUGAACAAAUUACAUGAUAUUUGUGGUGUACUUGGGAUUGAUUUUU